rfam:Parcubacteria bacterium C7867-001 C7867_00020, whole genome shotgun sequence.
GCGGUUAUGGUUUAGUGGUAAAACGGGUCCUUGCCAAGGACCAGUCGGGAGUUCGAUUCUCCCUAACCGCA